rnacentral:rRNA from 1 species
AGCAGCCGCGGUAAUUCCAGCUCCAAUAGCGUAUAUUAAAGUUGUUGCAGUUAAAAAGCUCGUAGUUGAAUUUCGGGAUCAAGGAAUCGGUCAUGCCUCGGUAUGUACUGGUUUUAUUGGUUCUCACCUUCUAAAGAACCAUAAUGUCAUUCAUUUGAUGUUAUGGGGAAUUAGGACUGUUACCUUGAAAAAUUAGAGUGUUUAAAGCAGGCUUACGCUUGAAUACAUUAGCAUGGAAUAAUGAAAUAGGACAUCAGAUUCUAUUUUGUUGGUUUCUAGGAUCGAUGUAAUGAUUAAUAGGGAUAGUUGGGGGCAUUAGUAUUCAAUUGUCAGAGGUGAAAUUCUUGGAUUUAUUGAAGACUAACUACUGCGAAAGCAUUUGCCAAGGAUGUUUUCAUUAAUCAAGAACGAAAGUUAGGGGAUCGAAGACGAUCAGAUACCGUCGUAGUCUUAACCAUAAACUAUGCCGACUAGGGAUCGGAUGAUGUUAUUUUAUAAUUGACUC